rnacentral:rRNA from 1 species
GAUGAACGCUAGCGAUAGGCUUAACACAUGCAAGUCGAGGGACCGGCGCACGGGUGCGUAACGCGUAUGCAACUUGCCUCACAGAGGGGGAUAACCCGUCGAAAGACGGACUAAUACCGCGUACUGUGAGAUAGGCAUGCGUCCCAUUAGCUAGUUGGUGAGGUAACGGCUCACCAAGGCAACGAUGGGUAGGGGAAAUGAGGGGGUGAACCCCCACACUGGUACCGAGGCACGGACCAGACUCCGACGGGAGGGAGCAGUGAGGAAUAUUGGGCAAUGGGCGAGAGCCUGAACAAGCCAAGUCGCGUGAAGGAUGACUGUCUAGGGAGUGUAAACUUCUUUUGUAGGGGAAUAUGUACCCUACGAAUAAGCAUCGGCUAACUCCGUGCCAGCAGCCGCGGUAAUUC